rnacentral:rRNA from 1 species
CACCCAGGACGGUGGAUCACUCGGCUCGUGGGUCGAUGGAAGAACGCAGCAAAUUGCGCGUCGACAUGUGAACUGCAGGGACACAUGAACAUCGACGUUUCGAACGCACAUUGCGGUCCAUGGAUUCCGUUCCCGGGCCACGUCUGGCUGAGGGUCG